rnacentral:siRNA from 1 species
CAGAAGCGUACACUAUAUUGGCC